rnacentral:lncRNA from 1 species
AAUUUUUCAUCUUUCCAUUGUGCAAUUUUAGAUUUGUAAUUCUUAUGUCCUAUAUUUUCGAAAAAUCUUCUCUUUUUUUGUUGCAGAAAACUUGUGUUGGUUCGAUGGCGUUGGCAGCAAAUCGGCCGAGAUGAUGAAGUGAAGAGGAAUAAACGCUGAAAAGGAAGAAGCUACUGUGAAGAAGAAACAACGUUUUUUUUUUAUUUUUAGCUACAUAUAUUAUUACCUGUUGCAGACGCAGGCGCCAAGAAUUGAGAAGGGGGGACGAAUCGGGGCCACAGGGGCUGAGCGAAGGCGGCGACACGUGAUGAGGGAGAUUGGGAGACGAGGGGGUUGGGCAAGCCGACGACGACGGCAACACAGAGUGGCCGGAGACGUGAGAGAGAGAGAGAGCUGCGUUAUAGCAGAACAAUGCUAGAGUGAGAAGGAAGAAACCAGAAAUAAGCGGUGCAAAGGAUUAGGUUUUACAUUUGUUUGGAUUUUAGUUUGUUUGUUAGUAGUAUAAUUUUAGUUUGGGCUCUUUGUUUAUUUAGUUUUAUUAGUGGCCCAAAUUGUUAUAAUUUGUUAGUUGGAAUUGUUGGUAGUUGGGCUGCCAUAGUUU